AUUGAACGCUGGCGGCAGGCCUAACACAUGCAAGUCGAGAGGAGCGGCGGACGGGAGAGUAAUGCAUAGGAAUCUGCCUGGUAGUGGGGGAUAACGUCCGGAAACGGGCGCUAAUACCGCAUACUAUCAGAUGAGCCUAGGUCGGAUUAGUUAGUGGGAGGGGUAAAGGCCUACCAAGGAGACGAUCCGUAACUGGUCUGAGAGGAUGAACAGUCAAACUGGAACUUAGACACGGUCCAGACUCCUACGAGAGGCAGCAGUGGGGAAUAUUGGACAAUUGGCGAAAGCCUGAUCCAGCCAUGCCGCGUGUGUGAAGAAGGUCUUCGGAUUGUAAAGCACUUUAAGUUGGGAGGCGUUACCAACAGAAUAAGCACCGGCUAACUUCGUGCCAGCAGCCGCGGUAAUUC
rnacentral:rRNA from 1 species